UCGACGGGGUAGAAAAGUGCGUGACUGGAGGGAUGACUGUGAGGGCUGCAGGAGCCGAGCAUUCGAGUUAGUCUCGGGCAGAACACAGGCCCAGUAGGAUCAUCGUUCACGCAGACGGGACGAGCGGUGGAGAGUUAGGUGCGUGGAUGGGAAAAGAAAAAAAUAAUAAUAAUAAUAAUAAGAGAAAGACAAUUAGGAGGAUUUGAAAGUUAAAAAGAAACGAAAUGAAAUUAAGUGAACAAACAUACGAUUAUUGUUUUGAAUAUUAUCAUUAAUACCAAAACCAAAACUACCACCACCACCACCACCACCACCACUUGAACUACCACCAUUACCAUCAACUACCACCAGAAUUAUCGUCGUUUAUUUUUAUUACGAUUAGUAGUAUUGGUGAAACGUAAGGAACGAAUUAUUUAUAAAAAAAAAAAUACGCGAAACACGGUUGGUUCUCCGGUAAAAACAUCGAGGAAACGAGAAGAACAACAAGGACUAAACCAAGGAGGAUAACAUUUUCAGAAGAGAAACGAGAGUUGGUCAAAAGCGUGCUACCGAGAACACGUACGCGCGAGUACUCUCGACCUACAACCCCACCCCCUUCCUACCCACCCUUCCUCCUUCCUCUUGCCACCUCGUGUGCGUUCUCCUCCUCUUCCUCUUCCUCUUCUUAUUCUUGUUCUUCUUCUUGUUUUACCUUCUUUGCCCCUCUUCUUCUUCAUCUUCUUCUUCUUCGUCUACUUUUACCUUCUCCUCAUCCACCUCCACCUCAACCUCGUUCCUCCUCCUCCUCCUCCUCCUCCUCUUGUCGUUUCCUCUUCUCUCCGCUAACUUCUUACGGCCGAGUUUCGUCGGAUGCACCAACGAGUCCGGAACACGCUACUACUCGUCGAAGACACUUUAAUCUUCAUCUUUAACUAAUGAAAAAUAUUAACAAAUUUAUUACUAAUCAGAAUUGUUUAUAAUUAUUGAAAGAAGAUUGAAGAGAUUGAAGAAUAAUUAAGUGCAUCGAUAUAAGCUCUUAGUUUCAGGUUAGGAGCCUGCUAGGACGGGUCUCGUUCUCUCUUCUUGAGGCACCCGGACGAGAGCGGCGGCGGUGGUGGCGGCGGCGGCGGACAACGGGUGUUCGCAGACCGGUCGCGACUAAAAGUGAAAUAUUACACGAUACGCAACGUGAAAAGAAAUAAAGAGAGAGAGAAAGCAUAAAAGACAGAUUGGUUGACUAAACUGAUUAGCACAAAAAGGGAAGGGGUAAGAAGAGGAACAAUCGAGGACUCCAACCAAGGAUUUACCAUUCAUCUUCUAAGACACCUAGAAGGAUUGUCAAGGAACAGGAUCGAAUUAACGAUUGGACACAAUCCUGUUAAUAUCGAUCAACCCACAAUAACAGUUGUUCUAUUCUUUAAACAAAGUGUUGUUGUCAGAUGGAACUAAGGAUUACGUGACAUAUCGGUGUGUUGGUGUUUUUCGAUAAAUAAUAUCUAAAGGAAAUUAUUAGUGCCCCGAAAGUGUAUUCGAUUUGUUGUUUUCAUCCAAGGUGUCGAUAAUAAUUAAUCGAAGGAUCGAUCAUCAAAGAUUGUUAUCAUCAUUUCUGUUAUCAUCUAACGUAAUCGUCAAACAACCGAUUGUCUCUCUCUCAUAUACACACACGUAGCAAUUAGAUGUCAAAUGAGAACGUUCGGUACAUUUUGCCCAGUGGUCAUUGGUCUGGUCUCGUGGUGUCAAAGUUGGUUAUAACCGAAAAUCAUUCGUCGUGUGUCAGAGUAAAUAGUUAAACGCGAGUGAGAGUUCACGUAAGAGGGUCCAUUCGUGUGAUGCGGUGUCUACGUGAGGAGAGUUGUUCUAACAGUUACGUGGUAGAAGAGGACAGUGUUCAGUUGAUUUUAAUCAACAUCGAUAUCAAAUACAAUAGGAUAUAUCUAACACAUAGUUGUAUCCUUCGGAAUCCCUAACGACUUCCACUACGAAAUAAUAAGAAACAAGGGAUCAUCAACAUCAUCAUCAUCAUCAUCAAUAAUAUUAUUUCUAAUUAUCAUCGAAGUGAGAACAAUUAUUUUGGUGCGACCACGGUGGUUGGUAAACAUGAAGAGGACGAGAAUAUUUCCAGAAUCGUUACUCUGACGUGAAGCUAAUCUUUGAAUAAAAAAAAAAAAAAUUAGAAAAGACUAGAGAAAGUCAAAUAACCGAUGACUUGCCACCCACCGUGGGACAGGAAACAUUCGAGGAAUCGCGCCGACAGUGAAAGGAACUACGACAUCAAUAUCAUCAUCCUCGUGACAGAUUGACUUGCAAAAUACAAAUUAGAUCGGUCAUUAUUAAUCGUGAUAAUAAUAUUAAUAAUAAUAAUAAUAAUUAAUAUUAUUUAUUAUCUGUGGACGUGGUGUGAAUAAGCACUGAGCUGAUCAUCUUAGCUUUGUUAUAUCUGAUAUUAGGAAAAA